rnacentral:rRNA from 1 species
GACGAACGCUGGCGGCGUGCUUAACACAUGCAAGUCGAACGGAAAGGCCCUGCUUUUGUGGGGUGCUCGAGUGGCGAACGGGUGAGUAACACGUGAGUAACCUGCCCUUGACUUUGGGAUAACUUCAGGAAACUGGGGCUAAUACCGGAUAGGAGCUCCUGCUGCAUGGUGGGGGUUGGAAAGUUUCGGCGGUUGGGGAUGGACUCGCGGCUUAUCAGCUUGUUGGUGUGGUAGUGGCUUACCAAGGCUUUGACGGGUAGCCGGCCUGAGUGGGUGACCGGCCACAUUGGGACUGAGAUACGGCCCAGACUCCUACGGGAGGCAGCAGUGGGGAAUAUUGCACAAUGGGCGGAAGCCUGAUGCAGCAACGCCGCGUGCGGGAUGACGACCUUCGGGUUGUAAACCGCUUUCGCCUGUGACGAAGCGUGAGUGACGGUAAUGGGUAAAGAAGCACCGGCUAACUACGUG